AUUGAACGCUGGCGGCAUGCUUUACACAUGCAAGUCGAACGGUAACAGGCCGCAAGGUGCUGACGAGUGGCGAACGGGUGAGUAAUGCAUCGGAACGUGCCCAGUCGUGGGGGAUAACGCAGCGAAAGCUGUGCUAAUACCGCAUACGAUCUAUGGAUGAAAGCGGGGGACCGUAAGGCCUCGCGCGAUUGGAGCGGCCGAUGUCAGAUUAGGUAGUUGGUGGGGUAAAGGCUCACCAAGCCAACGAUCUGUAGCUGGUCUGAGAGGACGACCAGCCACACUGGGACUGAGACACGGCCCAGACUCCUACGGGAGGCAGCAGUGGGGAAUUUUGGACAAUGGGCGCAAGCCUGAUCCAGCAAUGCCGCGUGCAGGAAGAAGGCCUUCGGGUUGUAAACUGCUUUUGUACGGAACGAAACGGUCUGGGUUAAUACCCUGGGCUAAUGACGGUACCGUAAGAAUAAGCACCGGCUAACUACGUGCCAGCAGCCGCGGAACAC
rnacentral:rRNA from 1 species